rnacentral:misc_RNA from 1 species
UCCAUUUACCUUGUAGGUCAUGAAGCGGUGGAGUUCAUUGGGAAAGAGAGUGCAGGCUUUGCCAACUGGUGGGUAGAUGGUGUCAGAAUCAAAGUUUGUGUUGAAACCAAAUGGAAGAACUUGGCCAGAAGUGAAGGCCAGGAAUUCAGAUGGGAGGUCUUUAUCCUUUAGUAGCCGAGCCAGAGUUAGUAGAACUAGUAUCUAUGGUGGUAAUAGAAGUGGCAGCAGCUGUGGUGGCGGUGGUGAGGGGGUUGAGAGAGCAAGAGGAGUAGAAGGUGGAGGAAAGGAACAAAGUAAGUAGAUUUGUGGACAAGAGAAGGAAAAGGAAAAAGAGUUUGGUGGAGAGAGACUUUGGUUUAUGAGGGGAAUCCAUGAGGAUCUAGUUCACUAGUUGGAAUUGAUUUGAUGAAGAUCACUUGGAGAUGAAGAAAAUAUUGGAAUAGCAACAACUGGGAAGUGGGUUAUGGUCU